ACUAUUGGACAGCUUGUAUAUGGAGCUAGAUAUUAUAGAUUAUUUUUAGAAACUCGUAAAGAAAAUGAAAUUUUUAAGAAAUACAAUGAUGGAGGUAUUAAUCUUAAGAUAUCAGUGGUUGAUUUGUCAACUGGUGAAGUGGGACCAGCUAAACCAAUGAGAGGUGAAAAAGGUUGGACCAUUGGAGAAUUAAAACAAUGUAUAGGAGAAAAAUUUGACCUUAAGUCAUCAUGUAUGAGAUUAGUACAUAAAGGGCAUGAUGUUACUGAUAUUAAAAAUGCAGGGAGUACUUUAGAGAAGAUAUUCAAUUCGGGAAACAUCAUUAGUCCAUGCAUUAAAGUACUAACUUUAUCUUUAGUAAA